GGAGGGGCGGGGCGUGGAAGAUAAGGAAAGAGAGCAGGCGUACCCCGUGGGAGAAGCGGUGGAGGUGGUCGGAAGAUUUGAGAAGUCGCUCAGCAACUGGCUGAUAAUCUAAACCUAUCGCUGCGCACCUUGUGCCAACAUUUCAUUUUUGGCCCUUGGGCCCUUCCCUAACUCCCAGAGUCCUUUGGAACAGCCAAGAGAAUAAUAGAAGGAUGUGGCCGUUUACAGAAGAACUGCACAAGGAACUAUGGACCCAGCAAAAGGAACAGAGAGAUGCUCAGUAGCUUCUUUCUCCAAAUGCGGCGCCUUCCUUCUUAAGGACGAGAGAACGUCAGAUUGAUAGCUCCACCAAACUGAGAGAAUGUCUCACAUGGGUGUAGGCAGGCCGCCAUCCCUCAGAUUGAUUGACUGAUAAACCCUCCAGAAGGCAGGGACAAGAUCAGUGCUCAAACCUACAGCUCAAGCUCUCAACUCCUGUCUGAAUGUCA